UACGUAGGGUGCGAGCGUUAAUCGGAAUUACUGGGCGUAAAGCGUGCGCAGGCGGUUGUGCAAGACAGAGGUGAAAUCCCCGGGCUUAACCUGGGAACUGCCUUUGUGACUGCACGGCUAGAGUGUGUCAGAGGGGGGUAGAAUUCCACGUGUAGCAGUGAAAUGCGUAGAUAUGUGGAGGAAUACCGAUGGCGAAGGCAGCCCCCUGGGAUAACACUGACGCUCAUGCACGCAAGCGUGGGGAGCAAACAGG
rnacentral:rRNA from 1 species